CCUANGGGCGGCAGCAGUAGGGAAUAUUGCAUAAUGGGCGAAAGCCUGAUGCAGCAACGCCGCGUGUGCGAUGAAGGCCUUCGGGUCGUAAAGCACUUUUAGCAGGGAUGAGGAAGGACAGUACCUGCUGAAUAAGCUUCGGCUAACUACGUGCCAGCAGCCGCGGUAAAACGUAGGAAGCGAGCGUUAUCCGGAUUUACUGGGCGUAAAGCGCGUGUAGGCGGUUGGGAAAGUUGGAUGUGAAAGCUCCUGGCUUAACUGGGAGAGGUCGUUCAAAACUACCUGACUUGAGGAUGGGAGAGGGAGGCGGAAUUCCGGGUGUAGUGGUGAAAUGCGUAGAUAUCCGGAGGAACACCAGUGGCGAAAGCGGCCUCCUGGCCCAUAACUGACGCUCAGACGCGAAAGCUAGGGGAGCGAACGGGAUUAGAUACCCGGNUANUC
rnacentral:rRNA from 1 species